AUUACUUGAGGGCAGAACAGGCAGCUGCCGCACCCUUGUGGUCUGAAAAGAGAUGUAGGGUACGCCUUCCUACCAAAUAAU
rnacentral:ncRNA from 1 species